rnacentral:rRNA from 1 species
CACCAUCAGCGGUGCAGGAAGAAGGCCUAUGGGUUGUAAACUGCUUUUAUCAGGGAAUAAACCUCUGGAUUCACUCCGGAGCUGAAGGUACCUGAAGAAUAAGCACCGGCUAACUCCGUGCCAGCAGCCGCGGUAAUACGGAGGAUGCGAGCGUUAUCCGGAAUUACUGGGUUUAAAGGGUGCGUAGGCGGCUUUGUAAGUCAGGAGUGAAAGUUUGCGGCUCAACCGUAAAAUUGCUUCUGAUACUGCAUGGCUAGAAUUAGGAUGAGGUCAGCGGAAUGUGGCAUGUAGCGGUGAAAUGCAUAGAUAUGCCAUAGAACACCAAUUGCGAAGGCAGCUGGCUAGACCUAUAUUGACGCUGAGGCACGAAAGCGUGGGGACGAACAGGAUUAGAUACCUGGUAGUCCACGCCCUAAACGAUGCUUACUCGACGUAUGGCACUAGUUGUUGUGCGUCCAAGGGAAACCGUUAAGUA